AGCGAACGCUGGCGGCAGGCCUAACACAUGCAAGUCGAACGAACCUUUCGGGGUUAGUGGCGGACGGGUGAGUAACACGUGGGAACGUGCCUUUAGGUUCGGAAUAACUCAGGGAAACUUGUGCUAAUACCGAAUGUGCCCUGCGGGGGAAAGAUUUAUCGCCUUUAGAGCGGCCCGUGUCUUUUUAGCUAGUUGGUUGAGGUAAUGGCGCACCAAGGCGACGAUAAGUAGCUGGUCUGAGAGGAUGAUCAGCCACAUUGGUACUGAGACACGGCCCAAACUCCUACGGGAGGCAGCAGUGGGGAAUCUUGCGCAAUGGGCGAAAGCCUGAAGCAGCCAUGCCGCGUGAAUGAUGAAGGUCUUAGGAUUGUGAAAUUCUUUCACCGGGGACGAUAAUGACGGUACCCGGAGAAGAAGCCCCGGCUAACUUCGUG
rnacentral:rRNA from 1 species